GAUGAAGAACGUAGCGAAAUGCGAUACGUAAUGUGAAUUGCAGAAUUCAGUGAAUCAUCGAAUCUUUGAACGCACAUUGCGCCCGCCAGUAUUCUGGCGGGCAUGCCUGUUCGAGCGUCAUUUCAACCCUCAAGCCCUGCUUGGUGUUGGGGAUCGGCGUUGCCUCCUCCGUCGUUCGCGGCGGGGUGAGGUCGCCGCCCCCGAAAUGAAUUGGCGGUCUCGUCGCAGCUUUCCUUUGCGUAGUAACAUACCACCUCGCAACCAGGAGCGCGGCGCGGCCACUGCCGUAAAACGCCCAACUUUUUCAAGAGUUGACCUCGAAUCAGGUAGGAAUACCCGCUGAACUUAAGCAUAUCAAUAGCGGAGGA
rnacentral:misc_RNA from 1 species